GGGCUUUUUGUUUGUUUUGUAAAAAGGGUGCGAGUAGUCGGAGGAGGACGCCAGUCCACUAAUCUAUGCGUGGAUUUCACCAUUGCACUGUUGUCGGCACUCCCAUCGCUUUUUCCCUCACCAACUGCACUGCCAAAGAAGCUUGGAAAUGCCAGUGAGACAUUGAUUCAUGUCCUUCAGCCAAGAGAGGAUCCUUCCAUGUAUCUGGAAAAGCGACCUCUCUCCACCCCUGUGCUGCUCUUCGAUGGAUCCAGUUGUGUCCUUGCUGUUGGAAACAUGCCUGUAACCACUUUUCCCAAAGAUGACCUUUUUAAAGGCUUACUGUACCUGAUGGCGUACUACUACACACUGCAUCUCAUGUAUCUAAAAUGUGUUGCCACCCUCCUGUCUGUAAUUCAGACAGAGGUACUGGGUGAUACUAUUCAUGAUAAAGAUGCAACAAGCUCAUACAAAAAGGCAAUUGCUGAGUGGAAGGCAUUUAUCGAAAAAUAGAUAAGAGCUUUGACUCACCAACUAGUUUACAGAUGGGCUUAGUGUUGCUCACACUUCAUGGGGUACCCGACCAGCUUUGUUAAUUCAUGUUUAUAUGUUAGCUGGUUAGUAUUUUAAUGAGAAGUCAGUCCUGUUUCUUUAUUUUUAUGUUUCUUAGAUCUAACUGUCAUUUUGUAAACAAGACCAUUUCUUCAUGCAAUUUUCUUUUAGGCCUGUUAAAAAAUAAGAGCUUUGACUAAUA